rnacentral:piRNA from 1 species
UGGACUACAUACUCUGUGCUGAAGUGUC